rnacentral:rRNA from 1 species
GUAAAGCACUUUCAGUCGUGAGGAAGGUAGUGUAGUUAAUAGCUGCAUUAUUUGACGUUAGCGACAGAAGAAGCACCGGCUAACUCCGUGCCAGCAGCCGCGGUAAUACGGAGGGUGCGAGCGUUAAUCGGAAUUACUGGGCGUAAAGACGCAUGCAGGUGGUUUGUUAAGUUCAGAUGUGAAAGACCCGGGGCGUCAACCUCGGAAUAGCAUUUGAAACUAGGCAGACUAGAGUACUGUAGAGGGGGGUAGGAAGUUUCAGGUGUAGCGGUGAAAUAGCGUAGAGAUCUGAAGGAAUACCGGUGGCGAAGGCGGCCCCCUCGGACAGAUACUGACACUCAGAUGCGAAAGCGUGGGGAGCAAACAGGAUUAGAUACCCUGGUAG